AUUGAACGCUGGCGGCAGGCCUAACACAUGCAAGUCGAACGAGCGGCGGACGGGUGAGUAAUGUAUGGGAAUCUGCCUGAUGGAGGGGGAUAACUACUGGAAACGGUAGCUAAUACCGCAUACCAUCAGAUGAACCCAGAUGGGAUUAGCUUGUAGGUGGGGUAACGGCUCACCUAGGCGACGAUCCCUAGCUGGUCUGAGAGGAUGACCAGACACACUGGCACUGAGACACGGCCCAGACUCGUACGGGAGGCAGCAGUGGCGAAUACUGCACAAUGGGCGCAAGCCUGAUGCAGCCAUGCCGCGUGUAUGAAGAAGGCCUUCGGGUUGUAAAGUACUUUCAGUCGGGAUGCGUUACCGGCAGAAGAAGCACCGGCUAACUCCGUGCCAGCAGCCGCGGUAAUAC
rnacentral:rRNA from 1 species